UGCCUUGGAGCGUUAAAAGAGUUGAAUUUGUCCGGAUGCUGCAGUUUAACCAGAUUUCCAGAUUUUUUUGGUCAGCUUGUUUGCUUGGAGAAUGUAGAUUUAUCAGGAUGCUCUAAUUUGGCUAAUAUUUCCGACGAUUUCCACACUCUCCCAUCAUUGACAAGAUUAAAUCUCUCAAAUUGUAAGAGAUUGGGUGCUGAAUGGAUGGAUCGUGUGGAAGGCAGUCAAAGUUUGUUGUAUGUAGACAUUUGAGGAAAUGAAGGGAUAACUCAGCGGUGGAUGGAAAUGCGAAGGGAGAAGGAAGAAAGGAAUUUAGCUGUGGUAACUGAUUCCUCCUUCAACAAAAUGGUGUUAAAAUUGGCGAUUGAGGACGAGAAAAGAAAGAGGAAAGCCCUUAAAGUGGUUGCAGUGGUGGAAGGGGUGGAUUCUGUGGCUGUGGACG